CGGACUGUAGGCUGCAACUCGCCUACACGAAGCUGGAAUCGCUAGUAAUCGCGGAUCAGCACGCCGCGGUGAAUACGUUCCCGGGCCUUGUACACACCGCCCGUCACACCAUGAGAGCCGGUAAUACCCGAAGUCAGUAGUCCAACCACGUGAGGACGCUGCCGAAGGUAGGAUUGGCGACUGGGGUGAAGUCGUAACAAGGUACC
rnacentral:rRNA from 1 species